UACAGAGGGUGCGAGCGUUACUCGGAAUUACUGGGCGUAAAGCGUGCGUAGACGGUCGCGUAAGUCAGAUGUGAAAGCCCCGGGCUCAACCUGGGAAUUGCAUUUGAGACUGCUCUGCUCGGGUGCGGAAGAGGGAAGCGGAAUUUCCGGUGUAGCGGUGAAAUGCGUAGAUAUCGGAAGGAACACCAGUGGCGAAAGCGGCUUCCUGGUCCGACACCGACGUUCAGGCACGAAAGCGUGGGGAGCAAACAGG
rnacentral:rRNA from 1 species